UACGAAGGGGGCUAGCGUUGUUCGGAAUUACUGGGCGUAAAGGGCGCGUAGGCGGCCCGCUAAGUCGAACGUGAAAUCCCCGAACUCAACUCGGGAACUGCGUCCGAUACUGGCAGGCUUGAGUUCGGGAGAGGGAUGCGGAAUUCCAGGUGUAGCGGUGAAAUGCGUAGAUAUCUGGAGGAACACCGGUGGCGAAGGCGGCAUCCUGGACCGAGACUGACACUGAGGAGCGAAAGCCAGGGGAGCAAACGGG
rnacentral:rRNA from 1 species